GUAGGUGGCAAGCGUUGUCCGGAAUUAUUGGGCGUAAAGCGCGCGCAGGUGGUUCUUUAAGUCUGAUGUGAAAGCCCCCGGGCUCAACCGGGGAGGGUCAUUGGAAACUGGGGAACUUGAGUGCAGGAGAGGAAAGUGGAAUUCCACGUGUAGUGGUGAAAUGCGUAGAUAUGUGGAGGAACACCAGUGGCGAAGGCGACUUUCUGGCCUGUAACUGGCACUGAGGCGCGAAAGCGUGGGGAGCAAACAGGAUUAGAUACCCUGGUAGUCCACGCCGUAAACGAUGAGUGCUAAGUGUUGGGGGGUUUCCGCCCCUCAGUGCUGCAGCUAACGCAUUAAGCACUCCGCCUGGGGAGUACGGUCGCAAAGACUG
rnacentral:rRNA from 1 species